AGAGUUUGAUCCUGGCUCAGGACGAACGCUGGCGGCGUGCUUAACACAUGCAAGUCGAACGGAAAGGCCCUUCGGGGUACUCGAGUGGCGAACGGGUGAGUAACACGUGGGUGAUCUGCCCUGCACUUUGGGAUAAGCCUGGGAAACUGGGUCUAAUACCGAAUAUGACCACGCUCUUCAUGGGGUGUGGUGGAAAGCUUUUGCGGUGUGGGAUGGGCCCGCGGCCUAUCAGCUUGUUGGUGGGGUAAUGGCCUACCAAGGCGACGACGGGUAGCCGGCCUGAGAGGGUGACCGGCCACACUGGGACUGAGAUACGGCCCAGACUCCUACGGGAGGCAGCAGUGGGGAAUAUUGCACAAUGGGCGCAAGCCUGAUGCAGCGACGCCGCGUGAGGGAUGACGGCCUUCGGGUUGUAAACCUCUUUCACCAGGGACGAAGCGCAAGUGACGGUACCUGGAGAAGAAGCACCGGCCAACUACGUGCCAGCAGCCGCGGUAAUACGUAGGGUGCGAGCGUUGUCCGGAAUUACUGGGCGUAAAGAGCUCGUAGGUGGUUUGUCGCGUUGUUCGUGAAAACUCACAGCUUAACUGUGGGCGUGCGGGCGAUACGGGCAGACUAGAGUACUGCAGGGGAGACUGGAAUUCCUGGUGUAGCGGUGGAACGCGCAGAUAUCAGGAGGAACACCGGUGGCGAAGGCGGGUCUCUGGGCAGUAACUGACGCUGAGGAGCGAAAGCGUGGGGAGCGAACAGGAUUAGAUACCCUGGUAGUCCAA
rnacentral:rRNA from 1 species